UUAAUCAGAGCAUUUUAUUACAAUGGCCAGAAAUGAUAUUAAAUAAUACACAUUCACUCUUGGGCUGACUACUGACCUGCCUUUCCAUGCCACGUGUGUUUCAGGUAUGUCCUGCCACAUGGGCUGUUGCACCAGGGACUGCAUUGUCUUAGAAUGUUCCUUCCCCCCUGGCAGUUGCUCACAGCCUCCAUUCCUAUCACAGCCACCUGGAUGGAAAGUAAUCCCCUGCUCUGAGCCUUCAUUCCCCUUCCCACUUGAUUUUUGUUGUUCUUGGAAUAAGUCCCUUCCUAAUGAGCCGUGCAACUAAUUAUUUCCUUGUUUAUUGACUGUCUACUUGGCAGUAGGCAAGCUGUAUGAGGAUGAAUGGAGAGUGUUUUCUGCUUCCUGCUUCCUGCUUCCUGUUUCCUGAUUCCUGCUUUCUGCUUCUCACUUCCUGCUUCCUGCUUCCCACUUCCUGCUUCAGGGCCCGCAUUCACCUGAUACUCCACAGCCCAACUAGUACCACAUCUCAACUAAUCUUGGAGAUCCAACAGCUGAUGGGAGCUAUGCCUCCAGGUGAUUCUCAGGCGCUCCAGGCCUACUGUUUAGCACGAACCCAGAGCAUCCCUGCUUGGCCCUCAUUUCUAAGAAGGCUGGGUUAAGACAGUUGGCCAGCCAGCUCAGGAAGACAAGAUCAGAGUCCCCCAGCUCCUCAGUGGAGUUAGAGGUGGCAACAUUGACUCACAGAGGAAACAGGACUUCUGGGGUGCUGGCAACAGGAAGACUGGGGUACAUUUAAGAGCAAACAAGCCCAGGUGCAGAGCUUCACCUGUGAAACUGCUUCCUGCUUCCUUCCCAGAGCUGUGAAAGACCCACCACUCCUUCUGUACAAGCACAGUGCACCAAAGCCUGGUCUCUCAGACUCCUGUCACCAGGGGGCACAGAAAAGAAAGUGCUCUGGAAAAAGAGGAUCUAGUCUCCCAGCUGGCACUAGAUUGAGCUGCUGGGCUGUUUGGUUCUGGUCCAUACUGGAGGAAGAACACAUUCACACUCUGACCUUAUUUGGUUUCUUAUAAAAUGAGAAUGACACCUGGCAGCCUAUUCUAGUCUG
rnacentral:lncRNA from 1 species